UGGAACCAGACCCUGUGACCUCUGAAGAGGUCAAGUUGUGGGGCCACUUUAUCCCUCUGCGCUUCAGUGCUCGUCUGUAAGGGAACAGUCCUUACUGUUGGCGCUUUCAAAAGGGUCUGCUGAGAAUGCAUCCCUCGUCCCUAUCCAGCUGUGGAGGAAACCUAUAACCUGGCAAUUCCUCAAGCAGACUUUGAUGUUCGUCAUUCCACUCAACGCUGGCUUCUCUGCGACAAUCCACUCGAACAGAAGCCGAAAACCAGCUCCAGCCGGCCCGCAGAGCUCAAGUGUUUGCCACGGAACUGCACCGUGCUUCUUGAGGUGACUCAUAAAUGCUUCAUGCUGCACAAGAAGUGUUUGUAUACGAAGAUAUGACUGCGUGGAAACAAGAUGCGCCCUGGGGAUCUGGGGACCUUCCAUCUGCAGACAAGCGUCCUCUGCAAGUUAGGGACUGACUGUCACACCGUGUCCCACCAGUGCUGACUGCCACACAGUGUCACAACAGGAGACAGGGAACCUUCUAGAAACAAGUAACUGAAGCAUGCUUGAUAAAAACAACUUUUUAGAAGGCAGUAGGCGGGGAGAAAGGAGGCCUUUCCAUGAUGGAAAAGAAUCUGGGGCCUCAGAAGACCUAAGGACUGACCCUACCCUGGGUCGGAAGGAGCUCCUGAGAAAAGCGUGGUAGCAGCAGGUGAUGAGUGGUGAGAACCUGCUCAGCAAGGAGGAUUGUGGGAGGCCAGGGAGAGAAGUGACCGCUCCAGCUGGCUGCUUUGUGACGCUGCAGGUCGGUGAGGAAGCUGUACCAUCUCACUCGGGGUGUGUGUCACACGGGACGCUCCAUCUGGAAUUCCUAAAGUCUGGAACAUUUGGACUAGGGGUAGCUUGGGGGCUCACUCCUCAGAAAGAGAGAAGUGGAACAGAAAACAUCCUGGUGGUAAGGACUAUGGCUGCUCAUACUAAGGAAGAAGCAGGGGGUUUGGUUUGUUUUCCCUGGAAGAGGAAAGUGUAAAAGUGAGUGGGAAGUGAGAACUCAAAGAGAAGGGGAUGACAGCUGUGGACACAGGGAGAGAGGACAGUCUGCUGGCAGAGGGGCCCCAGGGUGCCCGGGGGUCAGGAACAAAGGCUGUGUGCAUGAGAGCAGGACCACGGAACACAGCUGGUAGAGGAGAUGCCAGAGCCUAGCUACUCCCCGACACAUCAGACUUGACCCAGGCUUUCGCUAGAACCAUCACAAAGAGCUCCUGAACUUCGCCCUUUUCUUAUAUACGCUUGUUGUGAAUAAUAAUAAGAAAACAGCCAUGAUUUAAAGCUAAAAUGUAUUUGGAAUCUUGAAAGUUCUACAGGGGAAAAUAUAGAAGCUAGUUUUCAAGAUUUGCUAAGGGAUAAAAAAUGCUCUUAAAAAACUCAAUUUCCAUUUUCUGAAUAUUUUCUGACUCUGUUGGCAUUUAAAGAUCUCAGAAGGCCAAGCUCUCUCAGAGAUGAAAAAAUCAGGUCACAGGGGAUUAUGGAGGGACACCAGGACAGCUGCAAGGUGGCUUUUCUAUCCAUCCCUCAAAUCCUACUAGGAAUCACUGUUCCUUUGUCCCCUUUCAGUGUGUGUGGUGUGGUGUGGUGUGGUGUGGUGUGUGUGUCUGGUGUGUGUGUGUGUGUGUGUGUGUGUGUGUGUGUGUGUGGUGUGUAUGAAUGAUGCAUGGGCACUCACAUGAAUGAAUGCACCUAGGGUGUGGUGUGCUUAUGCACAGUGCACGUGUAGAAGUCAAAGGAUACCCAUGGAUGUCAGUCCUCGGGUGCCUUCCACCUUUUGUUUGAGAGAGCAUUCAUUUCUCCUGGCCUAGCACCUUGCUCAGUAGACCAGGCUAGCUGGCCUGCAAGCUUUCAGGGAUCCUCGUGUCUCUGCUCCCAUAUCUCAGCGCUGGGACUACAGACAUGCACAGCUGCUGUGCCUGUGGGUUCUGGGGAUCUGGACUCAGCUUUAUUCACUAAGCUAUCUCCCCAGCCCCUGGACUCUUCCUUUUCUGAUAAGGAAAAUAACUUAAUGUUUCCUUAACUCCAAACAAGAGCUACAUCUGGAAGAAUGUGCAAAUUACAUGGAGCUUAGACUGAGUUCUCCUGGUGUUAACUCGUGAUCUCCUCACAUCCCGAUGAGUUAGUACUAGAUUCAUCCUCAGACUUCAGAUGAGGACUCUGACCAAUCCAAGCCUGUUGUGGAAUAUUAUUUUAACUAAGUAAAGAUGUGUUACAUCUGUUUAUGCUAUGGAAUAUUCUUGUGGGCCACAUGAAUUUAUUAUAGAGAUUCAGCUGUGUAUUAAAGCUUUACUUUGACCAGCCAAGGGUCUGUCAAAAGGCAAGCCAUUUAUGAAUAUUUGGUAUUAUACAGUUUUUAAUAUUUUAGUUCUCUUCUGUUAUGAAAUUCUUAUGUGCUCAAAUACUUCCAGACCAUUUUGCAAACAGCUAAGCUUCUCAGACACUGUUCCACUAGGUACUAACUCCCUACCACCACCACCCCACCUUCCCUCCCCC